CUGAAACGAAUCGACAGCAGCGCAGAGCUGCAGCAUCUGGUGGAUGUACAAUGGCAGACGGAAAGCAUUUUGUGGAUAAACACAGAGUCCAGCUGAUCCAGAGAGUGAGCAACAUCGCACCCAUUUUGGAUGAGCUCCAAUACAAGGAAGUUAUCGACCAAGAACAAUAUGACAAAAUUAGAGCUCUGCCUACCUCUCAGGACAGGAUGAGGGAGCUCUACAGUGGUCCCCUGAAAGCCAGUGCAGCCUGCAAAGACAUCUUCUAUGAAAGCC